GGAUCUAAGGUUUGAGUGGUUUAAUAUCAGAUCAUAUAUAAAGCUUUUCCCUUUACUUUAAAAAUACUGUGUGCCUUGCAGCAAAUUCUGCAAACAGCCCUGCAUCAGUCUGUUUUGGAUGAAGCUAACAGUUGAGUAUAGCUCAUAUUGCAUCUCUGUAUAAUUUCAUGUGGCUCUUUUAAACCUUCAGUAGAUUCCAGUGAAGAGCCAUCUGCUGAAGUGGUAGAAGUUAGUGAAGAGGCCUCUGUGACUGAGAGUGUCGAGCAACCUGAAAUUCCUGCAUCAGUUGAACCCGGCGAGGAAAAGUCAACAGUGGAAGAAGAAAUGAUUACAGUUCUGCCAGCAUCUACUUCAGCUAAAGAUGAUUCCCAAACUCCUGAAGUACCUGAAGCUGGUGGAGAGGCCACGGAGGUAAUAGCAGUGGAGGUGGAGAGCCCUGUGGUUGAUGAUGCUGAGCAGACGGAAAAUCCUCCAGCAGUUGUAGAACCCGUGGUGACCUCAGAAAAGGAGGAAGUGACAUCGGCGGCACAGGAGCAAUAGCUAUGACUGAAACAAAUUACAGACGAGCUGAAUUUUCAUAUUGGGUAACUUGAUUGUUUGGACCCUGCAAGGAGUUACAACACGCAACAAUGAUGAUGUGCAGAAACCUGCAAGUUCUACAUCUGAGGAAUAGUUCUAAAAAUGGUUUAUUUCUCACUUUACAAUGCACGAUCUAGUGCAUAUUUAUUAUUUUAGCAUUAAGCCAUAACAUUAGCAUUGUGUAACUAUUAAUUCUACUAUUAUACUUACAUACUCUUGGAUUUCUAAAUAUACAUUAAUAUUAUUGAUAAAUACUUAAUUUCAAAGUUAAGUAAGUGUUUCUGUAACAAUACUGAGGUAGAUGGAAGACAGCAAUAAAGGAAGGGUACAUUGCAAUGAAGCAACUCUCGGAGCGGGAGGGCAGGUGUGGGAGAUGCUUGAACUGGGGCGCCACAGCAGCGUAGUGGUUAGCACACGCUAUUACAGCUCUGUAAGAAGUCUGUACAUCCCUCCCAUGAACCUCGUGGGUUUUCUCCAGGCGCUGUGUGUCCUCACAAAAUCCAAAGACAUGCCGCUUAGUAGGGUAAUUGGUCAUUGUAAAUUGUCCUGUGAUUAGGCUUGGAUUUAAUAGGUGGGUUGCUGGGCAGUGUGCUUUGUUGGGCUGGAAGGGUCUGUUCUGCUCUGAAUCUCUAAAUAAAAUAAAAUAUGUUGAUUCAUUCCUUCA